GGAAGAGAGAAGGGGGGUAGGAAAGAAAUAAAAAAAAUUGAUGUCUUUUAAAUUUUUUUUAGGCUAAAAAGAUGGUGUCAAUGAGUAAUUUGUGUUUUCUUGACCAGGAAAAGAUGAGUUGUUUGACUGCAUGUACAUGUCACUAUUAUUACCCACAUAUACAGCACCAUUAACUCGAUUUCAAAGCUUCUAGGAAGAGAGAGCGAGAUCAUACACUUUUGAGCCAACCAAAUCAUGUGAUACAAAAUAUUCGAAGUUACCAUACUGUGGUUAUAGUACAGCAAUGCCAUUUGAAGUCUACUGUGAACCAUGAGGAGAAUACAAUUUGUUCAGGUCUUCAUAGUCCCCUUCAUAUGUAUAUUAGAUUAUCUAUAUUACAUUAAUAAGCCAAAGUUAAAGGUUGGAUGAUUAAUAUUAUUAAUUCAUUAUAAUAAUGUAAUAACAAUUGUAUAACUAUUUAUACAAUUAUGAUAUUUAUCUUUAUGUUACUUAAUUUGCUACAUAAACAAUUUACUCAUUCUGUUCAAUAAAUUUCUAACAUUGAAUUACGUAGUCUAAAUAGAUACAGAUAGUCAUAUUUCUCCAUUCGGUAUAUUAUUCUCAUAAGAUUUCUAUUGAUAUCACAUUAUGUAUAUAGCAUUUAAUGAGACAUUCAAAGCAUGUGCAUCUUGCUAGCAUAAAUAAGAUUUACAAUGCAAUUGCCUUUGCUUAAAGAUGUAUGAACCAUGAUUAGAACCUAGAUAGUAACCUCAUAAAUGUGUAAAAACCUGUAAAGGAUCCCUCACUUCUGAUCCAAACCAUUUAGAUACCAACUUCAAAGGAAAAUCGACAAAAAACCAACAACAUGAUAAGAAACGAAAAACAUAAAAAUAUAUACCCAAAAAAUUCAACAUGCACUUUACUUUGUUCAAGGGCAUUGAAGCUAUUAAAUAUCAACAGUUCAUAUUAAAUCCAAAUAAGAAUUUCAAAACUGAAGCUAAAUUUAUAAGGUGGAGAUAAAGAAGCCUAAAAAAUUCAAACAUGCAACAACAAUUACUAAUGGCAAAAGUUUAUAUAAGGUUGCAACCUUAAAAUGUAGAAUCACAAAUGCACCUCAAAAAUAUAUUGGAAAUGUUGUUUUAAUGUUGAUAAAACAUUCUAGUCGAUCAUCUCGACAUCGAAAUAUAUGAAUAUGAAAAAAAAAAAAAAGUUUUUGAGUCUUGAAAAUUGUACAUCUUACAACAAUUAUCCGUCUAUUUUCAAGAUUUUCAUAUAUUUAUAGAUCUACUUGAUUUUAAUUAUUUUUAAAAUUUAAAAUUUUCUAAAUAAAUAUGAAAAUAGAUUUUAAGAUAACGCUAAGAAUUUUUUACAACAAAAGUACAUGUUAAAAUUCGAAGGUACACUUUAAUUGGAUUAUUUAAAGUUGCAACCUUAUCGAAACCGCACCCAAUACAAUACUAAAAGGAUCGAAUCCACAAUAUAAAUGAAAAUUUUUGGAGAGAAAAAGAACUCACUUUCCUGAAGGCUCGAAUCAAUAGGAAUCCAGUUGCGAAGGGGAUCAUUGGGAUCUCGGAAAUGCGAUGCGGGUAAGAAUUGCAGCAAGGCAAGAGAGAUGAUGGCUAAAAAGGCCAAAAAAGGGGCAAAAGGUCAUGGCUUUGGAGGUGGGUUAAUGUCUGGGUAAAUAGGAACCCCAUUUCUCCUUUUAAUUGUGGAGUUAGUACCAGAGUUCCUUCUGGUUGCUCCUCCUCCUGAUAUAUGGAGAUUGAUUUCAGGCAUAAUUUAUUCCUCUGUGAAUUGGGUAAGGAGUGAAAACCCAACCCCAAAACACUAUGAGAAAUUCUAUGGAUUUGGCUCGGGAUUGUCCUUCAAGCCUCCUUAGUCCCUGCGUGUUUACAGGAGACUACUCACGAAUAUGGCUCUCUCUCUCUCUCUGGCAUCCAUCUUUUGUGUGUCCCUCUCUCUGCUCUCUCACUGAAGGUCCUUCAGAGAUUGAGGUACAAACUCACACCUAAAAUUAAACAUACCUUCUGAAUUUUCCCAUUCUUUUCUAAAACUAAUGAUGCAUCUCUCUUGUUUUUCUUUUCCUUGGACUAAUUAAACAUGAAUCUUGUGUUUCCUCUUCUUUUUUUUUUCUUUUUUUUUUUUGGGCAUGAUCCCUUUUAGCUUCACAAGACUUAGGGUUCUUUCUAUUUGGUUUAGUGAUUCAAUCAUAUGGUGACUGUAUUAUUGAACCAGCCACCAAAUCGGUCAAAUUAUAUGAUAUACAUAAUUUCUAACAUAAAAAAUAAAUUCAAAUAGGGCUGCCAUGAUGCAUCAUAUCUUUAAUAGGGCCGUGGUGCCCAAGGGAAGUCCCUAAAGUGAAUCCUAAGGCAUCAUGGCCUUAUUAAGCCAUGGCAUUUUGGGUUAAAAAAAUAACUAUUGGGUAUGUAGAAUUUUUAAUUUUUGAAACUAUAUAUUUUGGUAAUUUCUUUUUUUUUUUUCUUUCAAAAUAACAACCGGUUCAAUUGAAAUAAUAUUUUAAAAUACCAAUAACUUCAUUUUUUUUUUUUAUAGAUAUUUUCAUUAUUUUAUUUUUUUUCUUAUUUUUCCCAUAUCUUUCCGGCCUUGAUGUCUCACUCUUUAUUUCCUUUUCUUCGUGCUUGCAUAAUUUUGGCCUUUACAUUUUAUUUUCAAANNNNNNNNNNNNNNNNNNNNNNNNNNNNNNNNNNNNNNNNNNNNNNNNNNNNNNNNNNNNNNNNNNNNNNNNNNNNNNNNNNNNNNNNNNNNNNNNNNNNNNNNNNNNNNNNNNNNNNNNNNNNNNNNNNNNNNNNNNNNNNNNNNNNNNNNNNNNNNNNGAAAGUUUAAUUUGGGAUUUUUGUAAGACAAUUUAUAAAAAUACCAAUUACACAUAAAACAUUUAAUAUUUAUCCAUUUGCAACUAUUCUAACUCAAAUAUUUAUCCAUUUGCAACUAUUCUAACUCAAAGACCUUUCUUCAAUGGUAUUUUGAAAUUAAAAUAAAAAGAUACGCACAAAGUAUUAAAUUGUUUAUCUAUUAUGGGUGAUUUAAUACAUUUACCCUUUUUAUUUAUCAAGAAAAGUGUUUACAAAAAAUUAAGUCUUUUGAUUAUUCGCAAUUAAGGUUUUAUCAAGUGUGGCCUGCCUUUCAUAACUCUCAGAGGUGGCCCGAGACUCUCUCUGCCGUUGGAGGUAAACCCUAACCCUGAGAUCCAUGGGGGAUUGUUUACUUUCUCUGCAUUUUUUAUUGAUUCAAUUGUUUAAAAUGUUUUAUUGGUUCUUAAUCAGAUCGAUUCAUAGGGGAUCUUAUAUAUAUAUAUAUAUAUAUAUACCCGUGUCGGUAUAUAAUUGUGGUAUAAGCUUCUUUUGUAAACAGAGCUUCCUUUGUAAAUAGAUAGCGAUAGCUUUUUCUCUCACUCUAAAAUAUAAAAAAAAAAAGGGUUUUUAAUCUAAAAUCCAGACUCUCUAUGAUCACCAGUUUCACAACAUCCCUCUUUUUUGAUCUCGGAUUUGGUUUCAUCUACACUAUCAAUUUUUACUAACAUCAAUAUAUGCUCAGACUAACCAACUGAGUACGGAGGGAGCGUUCAUAGCCAAGUCACUUUAUCAGAAAAUUGCGAUGGAGAAACAGAUUUGUAUUGUUCCAAAUGCUAGAAAAGCAUCAUUUAUGAGCACAAGCAUUUAUAUUACUUGCUAUGUGGAAUAGAGCUCCCAUUGUAGACCGCCUACAUAAGAGGGCGAUGGUAAUCACAGAUACUUGAUCUCUAUGCAAACAUGAUAGAGAAACAAAUGUACACACUUUGAUACAUUGCCCUUUUGCUAAUUCUCUUCAGAGUUGAUUGCUAAUCCACAGAGCUCUACUAAGGAAAAAGGUCUUAAAGCCAAGAUACUGGUUGGACCCCUACAGAAGGAUGAUUCAAACACAACUUUGAGUGUAGUGCAAUUAGAAACACGGGGAAUAGGGGGCUGCUGAGGAAUUCGGAGGGUAACAUAUUGUUUUCAUUCUCAGGCCCCUGCCGGAUGUCCUCUGUGAAUUAAGCGUUACUUUUUGCCGUGAAAUAGGGAGGUUCUCUCCUACCGAGUCACGAGAAAGUCAUAGUAGAAGGGGAUUCGACAAAUGUGAUGGCUUGGCGAAAUUCGUCAAAAAGAAUUAUUUGGAAAUGGAAUUCCAUCACAGAUGAAACGAAAAACUACCAACACAGAAAAGAAGUUUAGAUUGUGUAUGGCAAUAGGCAGUGAAAUCAGGAUGCAGAUGCCUGGCAAGAGUGAACAAGAGAUGAUCUCAAUCCAAAUAAGUUUAGAUUGUGUAUGGCAAUAGGCAGUGAAAUCAGGAUGCAGAUGCCUGGCAAGAGUGAACAAAGUGAUGAUCUCAAUCCAAAUAUUUGACUGCAGCGUGGCAAAUUGCAGUGGAGAACCACUGGUAGGCGAAUGAAGAUGCAACUCAAAUAACUUAUGGGUUUUUUUUUUUUUGCCCUUUUCUUUGUUUUGUUUCUUGUAAUUGUAAUUGUAAUUUUGUUG
rnacentral:lncRNA from 1 species